GGGGCUGCUUCUGGAUUCGACGGGAUUUGCGAAACCCAAGGUGCAUGCCGAGGGGCGGUUGGCCUCGUAAAAAGCCGCAAAAAAAUAGUCGCAAACGACGAAACCUACGCUUUAGCAGCUUAAUAACCUGCUUAGAGCCCUCUCUCCCUAGCCUCCGCUCUUAGGACGGGGAUCAAGAGAGGUCAAACCCAAAAGAGAUCGCGCGGAUGCCCUGCCUGGGGUUGAAGCGUUAAAACGAAUCAGGCUAGUCUGGUAGUGGCGUGUCCGUCCGCAGGUGCCAGGCGAAUGUAAAGACUGACUAAGCAUGUAGUACCGAGGAUGUAGGAAUUUCGGACGCGGGUUCAACUCCCGCCAGCUCCACCA
rnacentral:tmRNA from 2 species